rnacentral:pre_miRNA from 1 species
UGCCGAGGAAAUUUUCAGUAGUUAACUGCAGCCGGUUUUCUAAAAUUUCGGCAGUUAACUACCGAGGGGCAU